UACGUAGGGGGCUAGCGUUGUCCGGAAUCAUUGGGCGUAAAGCGCGUGUAGGCGGCCCGGUAAGUCCGCUGUGAAAGUCGGGGGCUCAACCCUCGAAUGCCGGUGGAUACUGUUGGGCUAGAGUACGGAAGAGGCGAGUGGAAUUCCUGGUGUAGCGGUGAAAUGCGCAGAUAUCAGGAGGAACACCAAUUGCGAAGGCAGCUCGCUGGGACGUCACUGACGCUGAGACGCGAAAGCGUGGGGAGCAAACAGG
rnacentral:rRNA from 1 species